AACGAACGCUGGCGGCAUGCCUAACACAUGCAAGUCGAACGCGUGGCUUCGGCCACGAGUGGCGCACGGGUGAGUAACGCGUGGGAACCUGCCCAUUGGUACGGAACAACCGCGGGAAACUGCGGCUAAUACCGUAUACGCCCUGAGGGGGAAAGAUUUAUCGCCGAUGGAGGGGCCCGCGUCGGAUUAGGUAGUUGGUGGGGUAACGGCCUACCAAGCCGACGAUCCGUAGCUGGUCUGAGAGGAUGAUCAGCCACACUGGGACUGAGA
rnacentral:rRNA from 1 species